rnacentral:rRNA from 1 species
UAAUACGUAGGGUGCAAGCGUUAAUCGGAAUUACUGGGCGUAAAGCGUGCGCAGGCGGUUUUGUAAGUCAGAUGUGAAAUCCCCGGGCUUAACCUGGGAACUGCGUUUGAAACUACAAGACUAGAGUGUGGCAGAGGGGGGUGGAAUUCCGCGUGUAGCAGUGAAAUGCGUAGAGAUGUGGAGGAACACCGAUGGCGAAGGCAGCCCCCUGGGUCAACACUGACGCUCAGGCACGAAAGCAUGGGGAGCAAACAGGAUUAGAUACCCUGGUAGUCCAUGCCCUAAACGAUGUCAACUAGUUGUCGGGCCUUAACGGGCUUGGUAACGUAGCUAACGCGUGAAGUUGACCGCCUGGGGAGUACGAUCGCAAGAUUA